CUGUUGGGCCAAUUGGUGCUAGGUGUACAUUGAGAUGUUUCAGAAAAAUAGAUCCUUGAUGCUGGACAUAGUGCAAUGGUGAGAUCCACUUAUUUAUGAUGGCGAGGAUGAUUGUUGGGCUGGCAUGUGGAGCUGUACUAAUAAGCUAUGAGAAGGUCCUCACAUCACAACACCCGAGCAAGUUUGGCAAGGCUUGCUCGCCAUGGCCUACCACAUCGACGAGACGGGGCGAGCACGUGAUCACCAUCAGCAGGUCCUUCGUCACAACACCCGAGCGAGCGAGAUGUUCAAACAAAGUUAUAUGAUACACUGCUAUUGACAUAUGUCGUAGAUGGAUGGUACAUAUCGUUUCUCUCCAUGUUACAAUUUCUGUGACCUCGACAUUUGGAAGACAUGUCAUCCGAAUCGUCUAUCAUAACUGAACCAUUACUAUCACAAGCAUCUUACUUUUAGAAAUUCAUAUGAUGGUUCAGUUAUCUAUAUUAUGUGUGCCAUUUGUUACCUCUGAAAUAUAUAUUAUGUGUGCCCUGUCGUGUUGGUUUAUUUUUGGUGCCAAAAUGCUGCUGAGCAUUUGGUGUAACUGAUUGCACUACCCAUUUAGUGGUGUCUGGGCAUAUGUCAUGUAUUGGACACAACCAUGUUAUCUAUAAAGGCAAUUUUUUCGCUUCUAUGCAUUAAACUGAUCCA